UGCGGUGUAGAUCAGUUGGUAGAUCAGGGCGCUCAUAACGCUCGUGUCGUCGGUUCGAGUCCGACUGCCGCAACCA
rnacentral:tRNA from 1 species